ACCACCUCCUCCUCCUCCUCCUCCUCCACUGAGCAACACGGAGCUCCCUCUCUCUCUCUUCCUCUGUGGCUGCCCCUUUUCGGUCUUUUCACGGCCCGCAAUCGGACGGCCCUCGCCUCUCCACGUCCCAUCGUCUGCUUCAUGUCUCUGUCACCAGACUUUCGUCGUCGUCCUCCUCCUCCUCCUCCUCCUCAUCGUUUCUCGUCUUCUGUAUCCUUUCCUCUGUAGGCGCACGCCCACGCGUUUCUAAUCGACCUCUCGCCUCUUAGGGUUUGCUCGCAUUCUCCUCCGCCGCCGCCGCCGCCGCCGCCCGCGUUCGGCGCCUCAAGCUUCAAGCUUCGGUAUCCUUCUCCGUGAUUCCGGCAUCAUCUCCAAUCAGUCGGGGAUGGUUUCGGCGCCAGAUUAGCGGGGUUGAAGUGUAUUUUUUUUUGGGAGUUUUGUGGAUAGUGAGUGGGGUAAAUCUUCGGUUUGGGCGGUUAUUGGAUGUGAUGGGCCAUGGCAAUUGAGAAGAAUAGUUUCAAGGUGUCGCGGUUGGAUUCGGAAUUUUCGCCUGUCAGUAGGGAGAGUAUGUCGAGCGAUGAGGAUGAGAUUCAGCAUAGGAGCUCAGCUGCUGAGUCCGAUGAGGAUGAUGAAUUCGAUGACGCCGAUUCCGGGGCAGGGUCCGACGACUUUGAUUUGUUGGAAUUGGGCGAGACUGGGGGAGAGUUCUGCCAAGUCGGGAGUCAGACCUGCAGUUUCCCCUUUGAGCUGUAUGAUCUACCCGGAUUGGAGGAUAUUUUAUCUGUUGAUGUGUGGAACGAGUUGCUCACUGAGGACGAAAGAUUAGGCCUUACAAAGUAUUUGCCCGACAUGGACCAAGAGACGUACAUGCUUACCUUGAAAGAACUCUUCACGGGCUGCAACAUUCAUUUUGGUAGCCCUCUAAAAAAGGUGUUUGACAUGUUGAAGGGAGGUUUGUGUGAGCCAAGGGUUGCCCUUUAUCGGGAAGGAUUGCAUUCUUUUCAGAAGCGGCAGCACUACCAUCUCGUAAGGAAACAUCAGAACUGCAUGGUAAGUAAUCUAUGUCAGACAAGGGAUGCAUGGAAAAACUGCAGGGGUUAUAGUAUCGAAGAGAAGUUGCGAGUCCUAAACAUAAUGAAGACUCAGAAGAGCUUGAUGUCUGAGAAAGAAGACAUGAACAGUGAUCCGUCGGGAAGAGAAGACUUGGGCGAAGCAUUGUGGAGUAAGAAGGGCAAGGAUCGAAAGAUCUCACAGAAAAUGGGUCGUAAUUCUCCAUAUAUGGCAGCUCCGGCUUUUGAAUAUCCCUUGCAAGAGCAGGUGGUGGCUCCUCAGCGAAGAAAAAAUCCUAAGGGGACACUGAAGUUGGGACGUUCAAAGACACCUUCAGCAAAAGAACUAGCAGGCGGCUUUCCUUCUAGUGACCAUGGUCCUGAUUAUAGGGCUGGUCCAUACGGUCCAGUAGUUCCUUCUCGUCUGAGUAAGGCAGCAGGGUUUGAUAAAGGGGCUGCUCUCAGAAAAAAAGACCAGAUAAGAGGUGAUGAUGAAGCUGAGGAUCCUAUAUUUGGUGCAGGUCCUAGAAGAGAUCCAAGCAUCUCGAGGAGUAUGUUGAUAGACAAGCCUGCAUUUGUAAAAGUUGGAAAGAAGCAUGAUUUUCUUAAAAGUGACGAUUUUACCACUGACGGUUUUGUGGGUUUGCCUCUGUCCUCCAAGGGUGAUUUGCAUAUCUAUAGGAGGAGUAAGCCUAUCAAUCAAUCUCCAGUAAUGAAGACAUUAGCUGUAAAGCCGCUUAAUUUGAAAGUUUCCCAAGACUAUGCCAAAAAAUCCAUCUACCUUGAAAAUAUUGAGAGUUUUGCUGCUGAAGAUCGGAACAAGUCUGUCAAAGGCCGUGGUCGACAACCGCCAUCUAAAGGAAAUCGAGCGGACUUUUCUGGCCGCAGGGCUAAGGGAGAAGCUUUAUCUACGGAUUUGCAGUUUGAUGAGGGUAAUGCUAAGAGCAAGAAGUGGAGUGCGGCGAGGGAAUCCCCUGACAUUAGUUUGAAACCUCUUACAGAUUAUUCACCGAGUUUCAACCAUCGGUUCUUACCUUCUGAUGUCAAAGGAAAGUUUUCACAGGGGAAGGGCAGAGGGAGUUCUAGAAAGAAUAAGGGACUGGAUAUGGCAGUAUUGAGAGGCAAUAGCAUGGGAGUCAAUGGUGAAGUCACGGAGUCAGACUCAUCAGAUCUCUCUGAUGAUGAGGACAGCGAUCCUUUGAUGGGAGGUGAGUUUGCUUAUCCAGGUGGUUUCGUGGAUGUUUCCCAUUCUGCUGGGGUGAAGUCUGUGAUGUAUGGUAAAAGGGAGAACCUUUUUAAGAAUGACGUAGAAGAAUAUCCACGGCCAUUUGAGGGCACCAUGCACACAUAUAAUAACUUCGGUGAUCGGGGUGAACAGAUUUAUAUCCCAGAGGAAGAAAGCUACACUUUGAAAGCGAAGCAGAAGGGUAAGAUGCAAGAUAACCUUUCUGUACAGAAUUCUGCUGGAGUCAUGGAUAGCGGAUAUUUCUACGGUUCUGUUGACGAUGAUAGGAGGAAAUUCCGUGGCAAGAAUGGACGAAUGCAGGACGAACCUGGUGAGAGGCACGACUUAUCGUCAUUGAAGGCAUACCCAUCAGGGAGAAAGCAGAGAGCUGAUGUGAGCCAUGGCGAUUACAUCGUUGAACGAGAAGAUGAAGUAGUAAUGGAGCAACGUUUGUCACCAGAUAAUGAGUUGUAUCAAUCUGGGAAUAAAGGUAAGAAAGCUGAAGCAUGUUCGAAUGAUCAUCAUGAAAGAUUACAGGGAACUUUUCCCGGGUCUAACUCAAUGAAUAAGAAGCGGAAAAUAAAGGAGGAUGUUGUGUACAGGGACGAUUGCAAUGAGAAUGGUGGCUUGCAAGCUGACGUUCAGCAGCAAAAUGAUGAUAUCAGUUCUUCAAAGAAACGAAUAAAAAAGAAGCCAGAUGCUGAUAUUGGUCCUUCAGAAAAUGAAAUUUCGGACAUGCCCAUCAUGGAGACAGGAGUUACAGAUGUAGAGUUUGAGAGCAAACCAAAGAAAAAGACAUUUACUUUGAUCACGCCAACGGUGCAUACCGGCUUCUCAUUCUCCAUAAUACAUCUUCUUUCAGCAGUUCGAAUGGCGAUGAUUACAUUGCUUCCGGAAGACUCCAUAGCCGUUGGCAAACCUAUGGAAGAUCAGAAUGGGGAACAUGAAGGUGGGGACAAUGAGCCGCUCUCUCAGAAGAGCAUGGCUACCAGUAAUUCAGAGCAUGCUGCGGAUGGUAAUGUUCCUUCUCUUACCAUCCAGGAGAUUGUGAAUCGUGUGAGAUCAAACCCUGGGGAUCCUUGUAUUCUUGAGACACAGGAGCCACUUCAGGAUUUGGUAAGAGGUUGUUUGAAGAUCUUCUCGUCGAGAACAGCACCUUUAGGGGCCAAGGGCUGGAAGGCCCUAGCAGUGUAUGAGAGAUCCACGAAAAGUUGGUCCUGGAUUGGCCCAGUGUCCUUUAGUCCAUCGGAUCAUGAUACCAUUGAGGAAGUAACUUCUCCUGAGGCUUGGGGCCUACCACACAAAAUGCUUGUCAAGCUUGUCGAUUCGUUCGCAAAUUGGCUUAAAAGUGGUCAAGAAACCUUGCAACAAAUAGGUAGUCUUCCUCCCCCACCUUUGGCCUUGCUGCAGUUUAGUGUGGAUGAGAAGGAUAGGUUUCGCGACCUUAGAGCCCAGAAGAGUCUCAACACUAUUACUGCAAAUUCUGAGGAAGUGAGAGCUUAUUUUCGUAAAGAAGAAUUCUUGAGGUACUCCAUUCCUGACAGAGCAUUCUCUUACACAGCUGCUGAUGGUAAAAAGUCUAUUGUUGCUCCUUUGAGAAGGUGUGGCGGUAAGCCAACAUCAAAAGCCCGUGACCAUUUCAUGCUGAAACGUGAUCGUCCUCCGCAUGUUACUAUUUUGUGCCUUGUAAGAGAUGCUGCUGCCAGAUUGCCUGGAAGUAUUGGCACCCGUGCUGAUGUUUGUACUUUGAUCAGAGACUCCCAGUUUAUCGUUGAGGAUGUUUCUGAUGCGCAGGUUAAUCAGGUUGUUAGUGGAGCGCUGGAUCGGUUGCAUUACGAACGUGAUCCUUGUGUACAGUUUGAUGGCGAAAGGAAACUGUGGAAGUACUUACAUAGGGAAAGGGAAGAAGAAGACUUUGAGGAUGAUGGUACAUCAUCUACUAAGAAAUGGAAAAGGCCAAGAAAAGAUGCUCCAGAGCAAUCUGACCAAGGAACAGUGACUGUCGCUUAUCAUGUACCUGAGGAUCAAACUGGAUUUGAUUUGUGUUCAGAUCUUAAUGCCGAGCCAUCUUUUGCCGAGGAUGACAAAGCAGUGGAGCCUGUGUGCGAUGACAUGAGACAGGAUGUAGAUGAUGAUGAUCUAUGUAAUGCUACUGAGCAAGCAAAUAUCCAUCACGGUCCGUCAAUUGGAUGGGAAAGUCUGGACUUCAACCCGACACAAGAAAAUAAAUUGCUGUGUCAAGAAAAUUCCACAAAUGAAGAUUUUGAUGAUGAGAGUUUUGGGCAAGAUAGGGCAGUUGGACUCUUAAGUUCUGGCUUGUUUUGAGGAAUAUGUCAGUUAGUGUACUUGCUGUUGCUUUGGGACUUAUGUAAUAAAGCAGUCCCUGAUGCAUUUGCAGCCUUCGGGUUCUGCAAUGCCAAGAAGCACGGUCUUUGCCAUUGAGGGUGGUUGUUCAGUGAAGCCCACUUCCAAGUUGACAAAGGUUGACAUGUUGCAUUCAUGAUGAAAAGCUCAUGGUAUUCAACCGCUUGCGGAGAUGGUUUAACCAUAAACCUUGAAGCUUCCAGAUUUGCAGGUGUAGUUUGUUAGGAGAAUCUCCAUGAUGCACAGCAAUUUGAAGGACGGAGAAACCUCGUCUUGGCAAAGGCAGAUAACUGUUUAGUAUAUGCCAUUUGUAGUUAUGGUAAAGGAAGAUUA